GACAUCCCAUUAUAGUUACCACAACAAUGAAACUGUUGGCCAGUAGGCAAAGCAGAGAGGAAGACAGAACUUUAACAGGAGCAGGACAUAUGCUAUGGAACUCCCUCCCGCAAGAGAUAGGAAUGACCACGGACCUCACUACAUACGGAACGAAAUACAAAACUCAUUUCUUUGACUAGCUUUCCUGCAGCAAAUUUCACACACACACACUCGACACUAAGCCUAUUUCUCCUACAGCUGGGAACAACUAAAGAGAUUUUCAUAGUUAUUUCUAUUUUAAGUUCUCAGGAGGUUCUCAGAGACUAAGGGGACAGACAGACAUGAGAGUGAAGAUCUGAAAUGGGCCGAUAAACCCUAACACUGGUCAGGCCGCUUCUGCCUUCUCCUCCAUGCCACCUGGACAGCAGCCGGGGGAACAUGGAGAGAAACAGUUUCCCUGUCCUCAGUUUUCAUACCUGGCACCACAACAGCCCACAGCAAACUGGAGGAGCAACUGCUGUGAAAGUCCUGCUCAGCCUCUGCAGCCCAAGAAUGGAGCAUGCUCAGGCCUCUGUUGGUAU